rnacentral:lncRNA from 1 species
ACAAUGUUGGAACUAUCUUGUUGGAAGGAAAACAUGUCGCCCGAACUGCAUUGGUGUGGUUUUUAUGUUGGCUCGUCCCAUGAACCAGAGGUAAAUUUGAUUUUUCUCUUUGUCAAAACGCUCAUUGACCACCUCUUUAGUCCCUUGUACCCUGCAGAUUGAUUUUUGGAUUCAUGAUAUGACGUCUUUUGACUUUAAUAGUUAGGUGUUUUGGCAUCAUUAGACAAUUUGAUGAAUUUUCAAGAAAACACUUUGGACGUAAACUUAGCUCAGUUUGGUUGCUCACCACUAUCUUAUCUUCAGAAACCUAUAACACAACAGUGUCUUUGUCCAGGUCACAUACGAGGAUGGUGUUGAAGUAAACAAACCAUUAUAUAAUUCAUGUUCAAGGAAACACAUAGUUUUUUAAAGAAACAAGCAGUGUGCAAUCUCAAGAACAGAGUAUAUGAGAUAAAACGAACAGAGCAAAAACAGA